rnacentral:rRNA from 1 species
GACGAACCGUCCAAACGUUAUUCGGAAUUACUGGGCUUAAAGGGUGCGUAGGCGGCGCGGAAAGUUGGGUGUGAAAUCCCUCGGCUCAACCGAGGAACUGCGCUCAAUACUACCGUGCUCGAGGGAGAUAGAGGUGAGCGGAACUUAGGGUGGAGCGGUGAAAUGCGUUGAUAUCCUAAGGAACACCGGUGGCGAAAGCGGCUCACUGGAUCUCUUCUGACGCUGAGGCACGAAAGCUAGGGUAGCAACGGGG